GCCUGUUUAUCAAAAACAUAGCCUACUAUCCAACUUAGGUACAACCCUGCCCUCUGACUUUUAACAGCCGCGGUAUCCUAACCGUGCUAAGGUAGCAUAAUCACUUGCCUAUUAAUUAUAGGCUAGAAUGAACGGGACCACUCACUUAAACUUAUUUUUUAUUUAAAUUUAAAUUACACUUUAAGUCAAAAUACUAAAUUAAAAAGAAAGACAAAAAGACCCUGAAAACUAUUAGAUAAUAAUUAGUUGGGGCAACUAAAGACCACUCUAGCGUCUAUUUUUUAAAACUCUUAAAAUCUAAAGUAUCCAGUUACUUCAGGGAUAACAGACUAAUUUUAUUAUUUAGACCUAAUAAAUAAUAAAGAUUGGCACCUCGAUGUUGGCUUAUAUUUCCUUUAUAUAGUAACAUAUAUACGAAGGCAGCUUGUUCAUCUGUUAAAUAUUUACGUGAUCUGAGUUCAGACC
rnacentral:rRNA from 1 species